rnacentral:lncRNA from 1 species
GGUGGACGUCACAUGUGCAGCUCAGCUGUUGUGCUGAGAAUUGCUGACACGAGCAGUUCCAACCAGGAAAGCAGAGCUGCUUCCCACGGACAGAUUUUGGGGGUGGGUAGCAGGGACCCUCCUGACGGCUUGCUUCUGGGAUGUAGGAUGCAUUACGGAAAUCAUGAGCCUGUGUCCAGGCGUGGUCUCCUUUUCAUAGACCUGGGUACUGUGGCAACAUCCACCCCACCCCCCCCCCGCCCCCGCCGCAAGGCUGCCUUUUGGCUGCUGGCUGUGCCAUGGAAUGGAGCAUAUGUAUUUCUGCAUAUUUCCACUUUUGUGGUUUCAGUUCCAGGCUUUCAAAUUUUUUUUUCUUUUUUUCAGGAGAGAUCAGAGACAUACAGACUGUACUUCCUUCUGCGACACAGAAUUCGCACCUACUUGCUGAAUGGAAAACUUCCGUACAGAAUCCUCUCAUCUUUUUACGAGGAAGCCAUGGUCUCCAACUUCAAAAUUGAGGGACUACAUUUAAUUCGCGCAACUAUUCCCAACAGCCAAGACAUGGAAACACCCUAAAUGUCCAUCAACAGAGGAGUGGAUCAAGAAGAUGCAGUAUAUGUCUACAAUGGAAUAUUACUCAGCCGUAAAAAAGAAUGAAAUAAUGCCACUUGCAGCCGCAUGAAUGGGCCUAGAGAUUAUCAUACUCACUGAAGUUAAUCAGACAGUGAAAGACAAAUACCAUACACUAUCACGUCUAUGUGGAAUCUAAAAUAUGAUGCAAAUGAUCCUGUCUACAGAACAGAAACAGACUCACAGACAUAGAGAACAGGCUUGUGGUCGCCAAGGGGGAGGGAGAGGGAGUGGGAUGGAUGGGGAGUUUGGGGUUACAGACGCAAACUGUGACGUUGAGAAUGGAUAAGCCAUGAGGUCCUGCUGUCCAGCACGGGGAACUCUAUCCACAGUCUCUUGGGAUAGACCAGGAUGGUAGACCGUUUGAGAAAAUGCAUGUAUAUCCACGUAUGACUGGGUUACUAUGCUGUACAGCAGAAAUUGACACAAUAUUGUAAAUCAACUCUAAUAAAAAAAUUAACAUACCUAAUAACUUCA